rnacentral:rRNA from 1 species
AGUGGCGAACGGGUGAGUAACACGUGGGCAAUCUGCCCCUGAUUCUGGGAUAACUACUCGAAAGAGUGGCUAAUACCGGAUACUCACGCUGGGAGGCAUCUUCCGGCGUGGAAAGCUCCGGCGAUCAGGGAUGAGCCCGCGGCCUAUCAGCUAGUUGGUGGGGUAGUGGCCCACCAAGGCGACGACGGGUAGCCGGCCUGAGAGGGCGACCGGCCACACUGGGACUGAGACACGGCCCAGACUCCUACGGGAGGCAGCAGUGGGGAAUAUUGCUCAAUGGGCGCAAGCCUGAAGCAGCAACGCCGCGUGAGGGAUGAAGGUCUUCGGAUUGUAAACCUCUUUCAGCAGGGACGAAGCGAAAGUGACGGUACCUGCAAAAGAAGCACCGGCUAACUACGUGCCAGCAGCCGCGGUGAUACGUAGGGUGCAAGCGUUGUCCGGAUUUAUUGGGCGUAAAGAGCUCGUAGGCGGUUCAUCACGUCGAAUGUGAAAACUCGGGGCUUAACCCCGAGCCUGCAUUCGAUACGGGUGGACUCGAGUAUGGUAGGGGAGACUGGAAUUCCU